rnacentral:miRNA from 1 species
UAAUUAAAACUCAUACUAGAC